UACGUAGGGUGCGAGCGUUAAUCGGAAUUACUGGGCGUAAAGCGUGCGCAGGCGGUUUUGUAAGCCAGAUGUGAAAUCCCCGGGCUUAACCUGGGAAUGGCAUUUGGGACUGCAAGGCUCGAGUGCGGCAGAGGAGACUGGAAUUCCUGGUGUAGCAGUGAAAUGCGUAGAUAUCAGGAGGAACACCGAUGGCGAAGGCAGGUCUCUGGGCUGACACUGACGCUCAUGCAC
rnacentral:rRNA from 1 species